rnacentral:ncRNA from 2 species
AUUAUAAUGAGCGAUGGAGUUCGCUCGAAUCCUGGUUAACCAGGUGAUGACUCCUACCAUAGU